AGAAUCAACGCUGGCGGCGUGCCUAACACAUGCAAGUCGCACGAGAAAGGGACUUCGGUCCUGAGUAAAGUGGCGCACGGGUGAGUAACACGUGAAUCAUCUACCUUCGAGUGGGGAAUAACUGAGAGAAAUCUUAGCUAAUACCGCAUAAUACCCACGGGUCAAAGCAGCAAUGCGCUUUAGGAGGGGGUCGCGGCAGAUUAGUUAGUUGGCGGGGUAAUGGCCCACCAAGACAGUGAUCUGUA
rnacentral:rRNA from 1 species